ensembl:lncRNA
UCUCCUUGGUCAGGCUGUCGAACCAUAGAGACGGCAUUGGUGUGACCCCUGGGGUCCUUCCAAAACCCUUCAGACUGGGGGCGUUUCCCUGCCUCUGGGUCUUCCUCAGGUCACUGUGGGCAGGUGGACAGAUGGAGCAGCGGCCACCCCUGUGCUGAGUGGGUGCCUGAGGCCACCGGCUCUGAGCCCAGGCGUGGGGGUGGGGGUGGGGGACACGCCAGGGUGUGGUGCCACCUCCCUGCACCACUAGGGUCUCCUCCACAGUGGUGACUCCAGGCUGAAAUGCGGACGCUCAGCACCCAUACCUGAAGCUCCAUGUGAUGGCCGCUCUGAGGGUCAGGGUCAGGCCACUGCUCUCACCAGCUGGGCUCCCCCAGCGUCUGGCCCUGGACAGCACUUGGUCAGGCGCCUGUUUCGCAACAGAGGAUAGCCUGAGGUCCAAGUUCAACAGCCUGGGCAGGCGGGAGGUCUGGACUGAGGCCUCUCCUGACCUAGGACCCCAUGGACCCCAGGAGAGGAAGCUGACUUGGGAGCCGCCCACCUUGCUGGCCGCCGCGGGCACCCACCUCCUUCUCAGACCUGAGUCUCGGUUUCCAGGAGGCCGAGGAUUCCGUGCCCAGCCGCGGGUUCGGUGGGCUGCUUGCUGAGAACCUGGGGAUCAGCUUGAG